AUUGCAUUAAACAAAAUCAAGAAGCAAGAAUAACAAAUAGUCACUUUGUUUCAUAAGCGGUGACUGAAAUAAUGCACAACAUAGCAGAUAAUGAAAAAGCCUGCUACAACUAGAGUUUCAAGAUACAACAAAAGUUACAAAUCAGGUAUGCUACAGAUCAACCUUGUUUUCAUAUAUCAGCUGGUCUACGUGAAAUUGUUUCUUCAUCACAUGAUCAGCCUCUGCAGCUAAUGCUCGAUUCUUCGAGUUUAGGAGUUAGCUUUUUGUAAAUGACGUUCCACCUCCAUUUGAGAAAUUGCAGCAUCUCUUACACACAAGUGCUACAAAGAUCUGUUUCGUGCCAGAAUUCCAGCAAAGAAUUGUCGCAAAAGAAUGUGCGCUUUCAAAUGCAGUUUCACGAUAGCUUGUGAGACUUCACACAAGUUGUGACACAACCUCAAGCUCUGAAUCUCCUAAACCCAAACCAAAUUUCAUAGUGAUUGAAUAGCAAACUAUCAUGUGUAAACUUGCCAAUAUACUC
rnacentral:misc_RNA from 1 species